UAGCUCAGUUGGCAGAGCAUGGUGUUUGCAACGCCAGGGUUGUGGGUUCGGUUCCCAC
rnacentral:tRNA from 1 species